UGUGUUCUUGUUUUUGUCAGUCGAACCUAUAGUAGAAGUAGAUCCAGAAGUAGUUCUUACGGUCAUCACAGUCGAUCCAGUAGGUCAUACACGUAUGAUAGUUACUAUAGCAGAAGUCGAAGCAGAAGUAAAAGGAGUGACAGCUAUAGAAGAUCUAGAAGUUAUGAUAGGCGAUCCAGAUCUUAUGGCUCUGACAGUGAAAGUGAUCGCAGUUACUCUAAGAAUCGAAGUCCCAGUGAAAGCAGCAGAUAUAGCUGAAAACUUUUCUUUGAUGAUGGAAACUGUAUUUAAUAAUUUUUCCAGUGUUAUGUUAAAAAAACUGUUUCUACAGUGUCACAAGUGAAGUUGAAGGGUGUUUACUGAGUUAGCUGAGACUUUACCAUUUAACAGUGAACUCACUUGACUGACUGACUACGUAACGGAGAGAAGUACUGAGCUCAACUCAACGGGUUUGUUUGGUUUAUGUUAUGUCAAGUGCUACUUUUACAAAAUAGAAAAAAAAAAAACCAGUUUUAUUUCUUUGAAUUGGAUUUUCCAAGCCAUGAAUGACACUUAGGUGAAUUGCCUGCCACCGCUUUUCUGGUGCAGCAAUCAGUACUCUCUUCAAGUAUGUUUAUAAACACCUUAGGGCUUUCUGCCUGUUACUAUUAAAUAUAUGCUAUCAACUGUAAAACUGUGAAGAAAACUUCUUACAAAGGCUGCCAUUUCUAGUUUAUUAAAAUGCUUUUUUUGAUACUGGAAGAUGGGUUCCAUGCUGUCUUGUUUGUUGAUUAUUGCAUUAUAUACAGUGUAUACACAACAGCUAGCUGAUGAAAACAAAGACUGCCACUCUGUCUUAAUCCUUACUGAGCUGUGAUAUUACAGAAGUCUGCUGAAAAGGGUGAGAUUAUACACAGUGGGAAUUGUCAAACUGGCAAGCAGUGAGCAAAAGUGUGAUGAAUGAGUUUUGAUCUUAAUAUCUAACUUGUCUAAACUUUUAUGUUUAAAAGUGACUUUUGUGAUAAAUAUCAAUGUUCUUAAAGAGUCUAAGGAAAGUAUUUCUAAACACUUUUUGAAUUUAAUUUCAAUUCAUAUUACAGUGCUUGGCAUACUUCAACACAUUUUAAAGUUGAAUGUUGUAAACCGUUGAGUAUAUCAUGAGUUUCUUCAAAAUGCUUUUUUAAAAACUUACAUGAUAAUAACUUUUUGAGAAAACAAACCAUAAUGGUUCCUUUAUAAAAUGUCUGUAGUGGUAUCCCAUUUGCCACAGGGAAUAUCGGAUAUUGAUAUUGCAGAUAUGGAACUAUAUAUUGUUAAAGUGAUACGACUACAAAAAUGCUGGUAUGCCUGAUAAAAAACAUGGAUAAUACUUCCAAAGUAAAGUUUAAUACCAAAAAUGACUCCAUGUUCCAGGUAAAUGGUUUGCAAAAACCCCAUAGAUUUAAGCAGAAAAGCGUUGAGUAAUUUUGCAAUAAUCUAAUUGAGUUGAUUUAAAAAAAUUUGUAAAGUUUUUCAGUGUUUAGAACGUUGUGUACUAAGAAACAGUUUUUUAAUGGCAUAAUGUAAUCUGAAAAGUGGGGUCUGUAGUGAAAACACAGACUAACCUAGCUUUAUUAGAGCUAAUGAGUACUGUUGUAUUAUAAUAGUUUUCAUUACUGACUUUCUGUAAUAUCUUGAGACGCUUUCAUUUUCUCAAAUGUUUUCAAAUAUUGAAAAUGAUUUUUUUAAAUCUCAUCAGGACACAACAGCUUUGAAAAUUAAAAGUGGUAAUUUCCUGCUUAGACGUCAAUUCGUACUGUCUCUUUGAUUGAAUUAAGCUAUCCAAAAUUAGCUUUUGGUACACUUCUGAAACAUAAAAAGAAAGUUCAAAGUGAAGUUUGAAGACUGUAAUGAUGCCCUCCAUUUCUCUCCAUGAACAGCUGUAUAAGACAUUUGUACGCAGGUUCUUAAAACUGAAUUUGUCAUAUAGGUUUUUCACUUUGUAGAAGAACCCAAAAUUCUGGACUUAGACCCUUCCUACUCUUGUAGUUCAGUGAAAAAGGUGUGCACGUAAUCCUUUUGAAUCAAUAUUUUGUAAGCUUCUUAUGCUUUUUAACAUGAAGUACAUUUAUUAUUCAAGUCAGUAUACAUUUACAGACACGUUUCUAGCAGUAGCAGCCAUUUCAGAGUCCUGAACAAAUAUUUCAUUGCUAAGUCAAGAUAAUGUUGGUUGCAGUUUCAUAGUUUUAAAUACAAAUGUAACUUGGUUUUUUUCCUUACUGAGAAAAUAGAGCUAGUGGGCUAGCGGUAUAACAAAAUACACAAAUGUAAACAUUACCAUUCAAUACUUAUUAGAGAAAAAAGCGCUCAAGAAUCGCACUUUGUCCUGUUUCAGAUCCGAGUUGACUUCUUAUAUUUAAGGCCAGGAAAAGGUAAUAGAAAUACGGUCAGUCAAUUAAUGGUAGUUGUCCAAAAUUACUGCAGUGUCACUAAUGUCUAUUUCAUAUCUUGAAUUGAAGCUUUAUAAAGAAAUUCCAUCAGGUGGAUGGUUGGGGAGGAGUGUGAGGGAAGCGGGCAGGGAGUAUUUUUACUUGGUGAAGUCUGUUAAAUUGUGCUGCAGAUAGAAAAUGUACCCCUGAGCUGGUUUUCUAAUGUCGGUCUAUGUUUUUGCAAUUUUGUUAUUCAAAAGUAGUUGCUGUUUGUAAAAUAAACUUUUGUACAUAUCUGCAAGUGCUGUUUUCUCUACAUCUGGAACAAUCCGUUGCUGCUUGAGGGAAACAGGCAGGAAAAUUAAAAAUAUACUUCAAUUUCUGUAUCCGCUUUUGUCCCUUGCAAGGCUGCGUACAAGUUGCCUUUCCUUCUCCUGACCUACAUAGAGAAUGAUUCCUCAGCAAGACUCUGUGCUGGGUUUACAUAAUAGUCGUCAUCAGAACAAAUAUUUUGAAAUUUCCAAGUGAUUUGAGGUC
rnacentral:lncRNA from 1 species